rnacentral:rRNA from 1 species
GAUGAACGCUGGCGGCGUGCCUAAUACAUGCAAGUCGAACGAGGUGGCUUGAGUAGCAAUACGAGAGUAUCCUAGUGGCGAACGGGUGAGUAACGCGUUGGUGACCUACCCAAAGUGUGGGAUAACAGUCCGAAAGGAUUGCUAAUACCGCAUGUGGUCUUCGGGUUUAGAAACCGAUGGCGAAAGCAGCAAUGCGCUUUGGGAGGGGACCCUGCGUCCCAUCAGCAGUUGGUGAGGUAACGGCUA